ACCUGCAUCCUCAUGAAUAAUAUGUCAGGUUCUUAACCUGCCAAGCCACAGUGGGAACUCCAGGAGUGGCUUCCUAUUUCAUUUUCCAAUUGCCUUGUGCCAGCAGGUUGGUUUUGUUUGUUUUCUGUUGGGAAUUUAAAUUCCAGGAAAGCAAUUUGAGAUGCUCUGUCUGGAAAUGCGUCUGUUCAGGGGGGGGCCUGUACAGUGUUUGCCUCUAAGCCAGGAAAGGCUGUGGGGCUGAGGGCCGGGCUGCUCUCAGCCCAGAGCCCGAGGGCGGCUUUUUACGGCAAGGCCAGCUCCUCGGGGCUUCUCGACGGGGUGAAAACAACCUCUGAGACCUCAGGUCGGACCAGCCGUGUGUGGGUGGGAAUGCGAACCUGCCCUCUGACAACAAAGUCUCUUAAAGUUGCAGCAAAUCCCCUGUGACCCCCGCCCCCGCCACCGGCCAUGGCCACGGCCGCGUCCGUCAGCCGUGUUCACAGAGGGGACACGCCAGAGCUGGCCCACGGGCUGUGUGGUCCUGCUUUGGCACCGUCAGCACAGGGGUCAGUUCACGGUUGAAGACAAGCUGACAGCCCUGCAACUUUCAUGUAAGCCACGACCCCUCCUAAGAAGUGACACAUUUUAUUGUGGAAAUGGCAGUUUGGCCCUAAAUUGUACCUUUCCUGGCGAUCAAAGCCACCUUCUUCUCCCUUGACUGGAUUUGUGCUAAAUGAGUGAAAGAACUUUGGGGAAUGAAAUGUGGUAAGUGUGUGGCUUUUUUUUGGUGUUUGGUUUGGUUUUCUUGUUUUAUGCGUCGGGGUAUUUUAGCUUCUGAGUACUCGGGAGAGUGUCACAGCUAUAAUCCAAUGUCUAAAACUGUGCUGAGCAGACUGGCAAAUACAAAGACGGACUUGGGGUUUUUCCUAAAGAUCAUUUGAUUGUGUGAAAAGUAGUCAACUCUUUCACGAGGCUGUCGGGUGAUAAGGCCAUCGGGUGCCCGUCUGGGGGACGUUUCUCCCGUGUUCCAACAACCAGCGUGUUUCACAGCGUCUGCGUGCUCACUCUUCUAAUUUGCAUCUUCAUCCGCUUUGGGGUCCCCGGUACUCAGGGGGCUGGGGGACCUGGAAGUCCUGGGUGGUGCUGCAUUCUUGGUGUGACCUCCUUGGUGCCAGGCACACGGGGGCUCAGCUCUUUGGGGCGGGCCUGGCAGGCGGGAGGGCUUUGCCCUGGAGUCAGGGGAGCGGCCAUGGGUCUUCGAGCCAGUGCCGCACGGUGCACCCUCCCCCGGCGAGCAUGGGCUCCCAGUGCACAGACCAGGCCCCGCUGUGGCCAGGCUGGCACCCACCUUGGUGUGAGGAAGGGCCGGCAGAGAGCCGUCCAGGCCAGUGAAAACAGAAGCCACGUCCCAGGAAGAGAGGGCGCUGUGUGUGGCCCCAGGGGACUGCCCGCCUCUCAUAGUCCCCUGCCCGGUGAGACCCGACUCCUCCAGCCACGGCCCCUCUGGGACUGGACAGGACUCUUGGGGUGACAGGCAGUUCCUGGGCUGGAAACACCACAGGGGAUUUCAAGUGGCACAGGAAAAGUGGCACAGGAAAAGCAGGAGGAGACGAUUCCGUGAGAGUCCACCUGCUCCCGGGAGCAAAGGAAAACAUCGGUAACGAGGAGGCAGAUGUGCCCAGACACUCCGUGCGCGAGGUCGCGGUCACGGGCUGCAGGGGUCUCGGGACUGGUCUCCAAGGGGCCCGGAACCCGACCCACCUGCCAGGCAGGGGCUACGCGCCACUCUGUGUUCCAGGGGCGCCACGCAGCCCAGUCCUGUGGGAUUAGAAUCUAACAAGGGCCACUACCAGGCGUGGCUCGUACAACUUCCGGAAGCUUCUCCCCACCCCGUCUUUGCUCUGUCGCCAGCUGGACGCCGAGGCCCAGGUAACCUGGCGGCUCAGGGGUUGAACAGGACAGAGUGUGGCCUUCGUGGCUGUGAAUAGUUGUUGUUUGAGUUUCAUUGCAGGAGAGUCGACUUACAAAGUCGUGUUUGCUCUUUUCCGCUGUACAGCACAGCGACGCGGUCAUACAUGCAGCAUGUAAUCGACAGGCAUGUGUGCUUUCUCGAGGCGAAUAGGGCUUUGGGGAGGGCAGGCCAGUAUCCUGUGGAGGGACGUGCAUCUUCCAGAUCUCUUCGGAACCCAACAGCAACCUAAAAAGAAAAUCUGCAGAAAAACAGAAAUGUCUAACAAACAGCAGCGGAAGAGGGAAGAGAGAGACACAGGUGCCCAGGCCAGGCGCGAGCCCCGGGCACGGACGUCAAGCAGCGCGAACCUCCCACGAGCACGGACUGAAGCCCGGCAGGAGUCAGACACAGGGCUCGGCGGAGCCGCAUCUGAAACAGAGGCCUCGGAAGAAGACGCUGGCGGAGGUGAUACCGCGGCGAGCGGCUCAGAGGAGCAGGUGCGGCCGCACAGCGACCCGCUCGAAGCGGAGCUCUCAUCUCCUGCGCCUGCUCCCCGUCGGCUCCCACUCGGGGUUACUGUGACCAGCGCCGCUGUUCCGAGCGCUUCGUACGUGUCCUUCCUGUGGGCUCCUUUGUCUCCACCUCCCUGGAGUCGACCCCAGAGUGGCGUUGCUGGGCCCUGCGGUAGGCCUUUUAUUGAAGCUGCAAAGAACCUGUUUGCUGAAGAAGCGUCGGUACCACCUUACAGCCCAGUGUUGGAGGCGAGUCCACAGCCGGGGAGGGAUGUUUCUCCAUUUUCAAAGGUCUUUCAACUCCCGCAGCAGUAUUUGGUUAUUUCCAAAAUACAAGCCUUCUUCUCUUCUUGCAUUUUUUCCCCUGAGUAUUUUAUUAUUUUUGAUGCAAUCAUAAAAGGGAGUGUUUUCUUUAUUUUUGGUUUCAGGCAAGGAUGGAGAGACAGCCGUUUUUCUCUGCUGAGCUAGUUGCUGCCACCCUGCUGACUUCCUUUCUUCCUUACAGUGGUGUUUCUGUGAACUUAGAAGUUUCCUCGUGCAGCAUUUUGUCACGGGGGAAUGGGGGCAAUUUUCUCUGUUUCCCGUCUCACAGGGCUGUGUCUUUAUUUCUUUUUCUUGCCUGAUAGCACUGGCUAGACCCUCUCAGACAAUACUGACUAGAAAUGCAAGCAUGCUCAUCCUCGCCUUGUUUCCAGUUUUAGGGAGAAAAGCGUCCAGUCUUUCGCCAUUAAAUUUAGGCUAAUGAGUUACACUUUUUUGUAGAUGUCCUGCAUUAUGAAAUUUUCAUCUGUUUCUAAUACUGAGUAUUUUUAAUUAUAAACAGAUGUUAGAGUUUGUCAAAUACAUUUUGUGCCUCUUUUCAGAUGAUUGUCUAUGUUCUCCUCUUUAUGCUGAAUUUAUUAAAUUAAUAUAUGUUGGAUAGGAAACCACUUUGUGUUCCUGAAUAAAUUUUACUUGCUCA